AUUGAACGCUGGCGGCAGGCCUAACACAUGCAAGUCGAGCGGAUGAGGGGAGCUUGCUCCCUGAUUUAGCGGCGGACGGGUGAGUAAUGCCUAGGAAUCUGCCUGGUAGUGGGGGAUAACGUUCCGAAAGGAACGCUAAUACCGCAUACGUCCUACGGGAGAAAGCAGGGGACCUUCGGGCCUUGCGCUAUCAGAUGAGCCUAGGUCGGAUUAGCUAGUUGGUGAGGUAAUGGCUCACCAAGGCGACGAUCCGUAACUGGUCUGAGAGGAUGAUCAGUCACCCAGGAACUGGGACACGGGCCAGACUCCCAGGGGGGGCAGACAGGGGGAAUAUUGGACAAGGGGCGAAAGCCCUGUCCCACCAAGGCGGGGGUGGUGAAAAGGUCCUCGGAUUUAAAAGCCCUUUUAGUUGGGAAGAAGUGCUGCUUGUUAAUACCCUGCCGUUUUGGCGUCCCCAACAGAAAAAGCCCCGGCAAACCUCG
rnacentral:rRNA from 1 species